rnacentral:rRNA from 1 species
GACGAACGCUGGCGGCGUGCUUAACACAUGCAAGUCGAACGCUGAAGCUCAGCUUUUGUUGGGUGGAUGAGUGGCGAACGGGUGAGUAACACGUGAGUAACCUGCCCCCUUCUUUGGGAUAACGCCCGGAAACGGGUGCUAAUACUGGAUAUUCACUGGUCUUCGCAUGGGGGUUGGUGGAAAGGGUUUUUCUGGUGGGGGAUGGGCUCGCGGCCUAUCAGCUUGUUGGUGGGGGGAUGGCCUACCAAGGCUUUGACGGGUAGCCGGCCUGAGAGGGUGACCGGUCUCGUCGGUACUGAGAUCCGGCCCAGGGUCGUCGGGGGAGCAGAAGAGGGUCAUAUGCCACAGUGGUCGCAAGCCUGAUGCAGCCACGCCGCGGGAGGGAUGGCUCCCUCUGGUUUGUGACCCUCUGUCGCGCAUGUACAAGCCGAAAGAGUGGUUGUGGUGAGGGUAGUGGGAAACGAAGCGCGGGUAAACUACGUGCCAGCCGCCGCGUUAUUAGUAGAAGAGCAUACGUCUGAAC